rnacentral:rRNA from 1 species
CUCGCGGCCUAUCAGGUAGAUGGUGAGGUAAUGGCUCACCAAGGCUUCGACGGGUAGCCGGCCUGAGAGGGUGACCGGCCACACUGGGACUGAGACACGGCCCAGACUCCUACGGGAGGCAGCAGUGGGGAAUAUUGCACAAUGGGCGCAAGCCUGAUCCAGCAACGCCGCGUGAGGGAUGACGGCCUUCGGGUUGUAAACCUCUUUCAGCAGGGACGAAGCGCAAGUGACGGUACCUGCAGAAGAAGCACCGGCCAACUACGUGCCAGCAGCCGCGGUAAUACGUAGGGUGCGAGCGUUAUCCGGAAUUAUUGGGCGUAAAGAGCUCGUAGGCGGUUUGUCGCGUCGGCAGUGAAAACCAGAGGCUCAACACCCAGCUUGCAGUGGAUACGGGCAGACUAGAGGUCUUCAGGGGAGAUCGGAAUUCCUGGUGUAGCGGUGAAAUGCGCAGAUAUCAGGAGGAACACCGAUGGCGAAGGCGGAUCUCUGGGAAGUACCUGACGCUGAGGAGCGAAAGCAUGGGGAGCGAACAGGAUUAGAUACCCUGGUAGUCCACACCGUAAACGUUGGGAGCUAGGUGUAGGGUCCAUUCCACGGAUUCCGUGUCGCAGCUAACGCAUUAAG